rnacentral:rRNA from 1 species
AUUGAACGCUGGCGGCAUGCUUUACACAUGUAAGUCGAACGGUAACAGGCCUUCGGGUGCUGACGAGUGGCGAACGGGUGAGUAAUGCAUCGGAACGUACCCAGAGGUGGGGGAUAACGCAGCGAAAGCUGUGCUAAUACCGCAUGUGAUCUGAGGAUGAAAGCGGGGGACCGAGCAGCAAUGUUUGGCCUCGCGCCUUUGGAGCGGCCGAUGUCGGAUUAGCUAGUUGGUGGGGUAAAGGCCUACCAAGGCGACGAUCCGUAGCUGGUCUGAGAGGACGACCAGCCACACUGGGACUGAGACACGGCCCAGACUCCUACGGGAGGCAGCAGUGGGGAAUUUUGGACAAUGGGCGCAAGCCUGAUCCAGCAAUGCCGCGUGCGGGAAGAAGGCCUUCGGGUUGUAAACCGCUUUUGGCAGGAACGAAACGGUGUCCGCUAAUACCGGGCGCUAAUGACGGUACCUGCAGAAUAAGCACCGGCUAACUACGUG